rnacentral:misc_RNA from 1 species
AUACAACUGCCUUAACUGCUGCCAAGGAGGCCGAAGCACUAGCAGAGGCACGUGCAAACAGUGAAGCCAAAACUGAGCUAGAAAGUCGUCUUAGGGAGGCUGAGGAACGUGAAACAAUGCUAGUUCAGACACUUGAAGAAUUAAGACAAACUCUAAGUAGAAAGGAGCAGCAGGCUGUCUUUAGAGAAGAUAUGCUUCGUAGGGACAUCGAGGACCUUCAAAAGCGUUACCAAGCAAGUGAGCGACGUUGUGAGGAGUUGAUCACUCAAGUCCCAGAGUCUACAAGGCCUCUUUUGAGGCAGAUUGAAGCAAUGCAGGAAACUACUGCUAGAAGGGCAGAAGCGUG